UACGUAGGGGGCAAGCGUUGUCCGGAAUUAUUGGGCGUAAAGAGCUCGUAGGCGGCUUGUUGCGUCGGCUGUGAAAACCCAUGGCUCAACCGUGGGCUUGCAGCCGAUACGGGCAGGCUGGAGUUCGGUAGGGGAGACUGGAAUUCCUGGUGUAGCGGUGAAAUGCGCAGAUAUCAGGAGGAACACCGGUGGCGAAGGCGGGUCUCUGGGCCGAUACUGACGCUGAGGAGCGAAAGCGUGGGGAGCGAACAGG
rnacentral:rRNA from 1 species